GAAUUGAAUUCAUUCCUCCGUUUCAUGGAGGCGAGCUGUUGUCAGACAUCAGUAGUACUCGAUAUGCCUUUUUCCUAUCGAUAGUUCCAUUGAGCGUUUUACAGCACUGGUUACCAGAAUAACAAAAACUUCAGCCAAUUUUACAAUUUUAUUGAAAAAAAAUUGAAAUAGUAUAAUUCAAGUACUAAAAACGUAGGUAAACCGAUAAACAGCCAUGGCGGAAGCCGCAGCAUGCCAAUUGCAGUACGAGAACAAGGAGAACUAUGUAUAUUCUCUUGCUGCAAGCCGUCGUACGACUGGCUAUCUACUAGGUGGUGGGCACGCAAAUGAGUGACCACGCGGAUUGACACAAGAUAUCACAGAUGGCAAGGAUGCCAUAAAUACACUGAAUUUGAUUACAGAAAUUUUUUCCAAUGAAAAGGCUUCCAGCAAAGGGAAUUCUCUGCGAGAAUUCGGUGGAAAUGCUUCUGGGCUACGAUUGGACUCUGUCAAGCAGCAGAAGCUGAACCUCAGGUCCAUGGCCAGGGUUAACGUAAGCGGAUUCGCGAAAAUAUACACGGCGACUCGGCAAUAUCAAAGAUUCUGAGAAUGCGUCAACUGUAGGAGCUCCAUGAGCUUGCCUUGACCUAUGUGCCUGUGCCUGUCAUAGAUCUGGCCAAGAUGGUAACUCAGACCAAUAGCAACGAACCAUAUUUACAAUAAUUGUCGCACUGUAGUGUAGAUAUUGUAAAGCGAUGCGCAGAGAAGAAAAUCUAAACCCUUUUCGCCAUCAUGGAGCUGGAGGAUGAGGAUCGUACGCGUCUAUGGCAGGUCUCCGAUACAUAGAUGGCCAAUACGGCCCGAUUCACCAACAUUGGCCCAACUUGGAGGUGUAUGAAGAGUGAAUGCCCGGCAAUGCCACCUUCUUCCCGCAGACGAGCGACUCCUGCGCACAGGAUUACAAGUUCUCCAUCGAAGUGGCCGAUUUCCAAUCUGAGUUGAGACUAUGUCGGACUAGGUUAAGUUAAGGUUAAUCACGUUAAGUUUAGCAUAACACAAAUAUCAACAAAUUUUGUAAACAUGGAAUGGCGCAAGUUUUGUGUAA